GAAGGUAUAGCUCAGUGGUAGAGUGUGCUUAGCACACACGAGGUCCUGGGUUCAAUCCCCACUACCUCCA
rfam:Camelus ferus unplaced genomic scaffold scaffold765, whole genome shotgun sequence.